rnacentral:ncRNA from 2 species
AAUAUCCAUGUUUUUACGAAUCGUAUAUCAUCACUAAUAUGGAGUGAUAGUUUCUAGCCGAUACCAAUGUAAAUUUCGGACUACGAUAGGAAAGUUUUUUUCC